CUUGGUGGCGGCGAGAGGCGCGCGCUCGCGAAAAUCGAGGAAGGUCGUCUUGCCGUCCUUGAAGCGGAUGGUCAUGA
rnacentral:sRNA from 1 species